rnacentral:rRNA from 1 species
CAGGCUUAACACAUGCAAGUCGAGGGGCAGCACAGGUAGCAAUACCGGGUGGCGACCGGCGCACGGGUGAGUAACGCGUAUGCAACUUACCUAUCAGAGGGGGAUAACCCGGCGAAAGUCGGACUAAUACCGCAUGAAGCAGGGGCCCCGCAUGGGGAUAUUUGCUAAAGAUUCAUCGCUGAUAGAUAGGCAUGCGUUCCAUUAGGCAGUUGGCGGGGUAACGGCCCACCAAACCGACGAUGGAUAGGGGUUCUGAGAGGAAGGUCCCCCACAUUGGUACUGAGACACGGACCAAACUCCUACGGGAGGCAGCAGUGAGGAAUAUUGGUCAAUGGCCGAGAGGCUGAACCAGCCAAGUCGCGUGAGGGAUGAAGGUUCUAUGGAUCGUAAACCUCUUUUAUAAGGGAAUAAGGUGCGGGACGUGUCCCGUUUUGUAUGUACCUUAUGAAUAAGGAUCGGCUAACUCCGUGCCAGCAGCCGCGGUAAUACGGAGGAUCCGAGCGUUAUCCGGAUUUAUUGGGUUUAAAGGGUGCGUAGGCGGCCUUUUAAGUCAGCGGUGAAAGUCUGUGGCUCAACCAUAGAAUUGCCGUUGAAACUGGGGGGCUUGAGUAUGUUUGAGGCAGGCGGAAUGCGUGGUGUAGCGGUGAAAUGCAUAGAUAUCACGCAGAACCCCGAUUGCGAAGGCAGCCUGCCAAGCCAUGACUGACGCUGAUGCACGAAAGCGUGGGGAUCAAACAGGAUUAGAUACCCUGGUAGUCCACGCAGUAAACGAUGAUCACUAGCUGUUUGCGGUACACAGUAAGCGGCACAGCGAAAGCGUUAAGUGAUCCACCUGGGGGGUACGCCGGCAGCGGUGAAACUCAAAGGAAUUGACGGGGGCCCGCACAAGCGGAGGAACAUGUGGUUUAAUUCGAUGAUACGCGAGGAACCUUACCCGGGUUUGAACGCAUUCGGACCGAGGUGGAAACACCUUUUCUAGCAAUAGCCGUUUGCGAGGUGCUGCAUGGUUGUCGUCAGCUCGUGCCGUGAGGUGUCGGCUUAAGUGCCAUAACGAGCGCAACCCUUGCCACUAGUUACUAACAGGUGAUGCUGAGGACUCUGGUGGGACUGCCAGCGUAAGCUGCGAGGAAGGCGGGGAUGACGUCAAAUCAGCACGGCCCUUACAUCCGGGGCGACACACGUGUUACAAUGGCGUGGACAAAGGGAGGCCACCUGGCGACAGGGAGCGAAUCCCCAAACCACGUCUCAGUUCGGAUCGGAGUCUGCAACCCGACUCCGUGAAGCUGGAUUCGCUAGUAAUCGCGCAUCAGCCAUGGCGCGGUGAAUACGUUCCCGGGCCUUGUACACACCGCCCGUCAAGCCAUGGGAGCCGGGGGUACCUGAAGUCCGUAACCGCGAGGAUCGGCCUAGGGUAAAACUGGUGACUGGGGCUAAGUCAUAACA